rnacentral:rRNA from 1 species
GAGGAUGGGGCGGUUGCUAUACAUGCAAGUCGUACGCACUGGCCCAACUGAUUGAUGGUGCUUGCACCUGAUUGACGAUGGAUCACCAGUGAGUGGCGGACGGGUGAGUAACACGUAGGUAACCUGCCCCGGAGCGGGGGAUAACAUUUGGAAACAGAUGCUAAUACCGCAUAACAACAAAAGCCACAUGGCUUUUGCUUGAAAGAUGGCUUUGGCUAUCACUCUGGGAUGGACCUGCGGUGCAUUAGCUAGUUGGUAAGGUAACGGCUUACCAAGGCGAUGAUGCAUAGCCGAGUUGAGAGACUGAUCGGCCACAAUGGAACUGAGACACGGUCCAUACUCCUACGGGAGGCAGCAGUAGGGAAUCUUCCACAAUGGGCGCAAGCCUGAUGGAGCAACACCGCGUGAGUGAAGAAGGGUUUCGGCUCGUAAAGCUCUGUUGUUGGAGAAGAAUGUGCGUGAGAGUAACUGUUCACGCAGUGACGGUAUCCAACCAGAAAGUCACGGCUAACUACGUGCCAGCAGCCGCGGUAAUACGUAGGUGGCAAGCGUUAUCCGGAUUUAUUGGGCGUAAAGCGAGCGCAGGCGGUUGCUUAGGUCUGAUGUGAAAGCCUUCGGCUUAACCGAAGAAGUGCAUCGGAAACCGGGCGACUUGAGUGCAGAAGAGGACAGUGGAACUCCAUGUGUAGCGGUGGAAUGCGUAGAUAUAUGGAAGAACACCAGUGGCGAAGGCGGCUGUCUGGUCUGCAACUGACGCUGAGGCUCGAAAGCAUGGGUAGCGAACAGGAUUAGAUACCCUGGUAGUCCAUGCUGUAAACGAUGAGUGCUAGGUGUUGGAGGGUUUCCGCCCUUCAGUGCCGGAGCUAACGCAUUAAGCACUCCGCCUGGGGAGUACGACCGCAAGGUUGAAACUCAAAGGAAUUGACGGGGGCCCGCACAAGCGGUGGAGCAUGUGGUUUAAU